rnacentral:misc_RNA from 1 species
UCCGGUUUGGCACCGGCAGUCUCCCUAGAGUUCCCGGCAUUACCCGCUGGCAACUAGGAAAAGGGGUUGCGCUCGUUGCGCCACUUAAGGCAACACCUCACGACACGAGCUGACGACAGCCAUGCAGCACCUGUGUGCAGGUCCCCGAAGGGCUGCCGGGUUUCCCCGACAUUCCAGCGCAUGUCAAGCCCAGGUAAGGUUCUUCGCGUUGCGUCGAAUUAAACCACAUGCUCCGCUGCUUGUGCGGGCCCCCGUCAAUUCCUUUGAGUUUUAGCCUUGCGGCCGUACUCCCCAGGCGGGGUGCUUAAUGCGUUAGCUUCGGCACGGAUGGAGUCGACACCACCCACACCUAGCACCCAUCGUUUACGGCGUGGACUAC